AUGCAAAUGUUCCUCAACAACUAAACAUAAUAUGUAAUGCAUCUAAUAUGGAUCACAUCAUAGAAACAGUUACCUCUUUGCGUCCCCUCCUUUAAGUAAUGCUGAAAAGCAUUUGGUGAUAGGUUCGGGAAUGAUGUUGUCCGAUAGGCAUUGACAACCAUAUUUAGGCUGCUCUCAAGCAUUUGAGGACAACAUAACUAAUGGUCUCAUCAACUCUUGGGUAGUAGUCACGGUC
rnacentral:lncRNA from 1 species